AUGCCGCGUGGGUGAAGAAGGUCUUCGGAUUGUAAAGCCCUUAUGGCGGGGACGAUGAUGACGGUACCCGCAGAAGAAGCCCCGGCUAACUUCGUGCCAGCAGCCGCGGUAAUACGAAGGGGGCUAGCGUUGCUCGGAAUCACUGGGCGUAAAGGGCGCGUAGGCGGCUCUGUUAGUCAGGCGUGAAAUUCCUGGGCUCAACCUGGGGACUGCGCUUGAUACGGCGGAGCUUGAGGAUGGAAGAGGCUCGUGGAAUUCCCAGUGUAGAGGUGAAAUUCGUAGAUAUUGGGAAGAACACCGGUGGCGAAGGCGGCGAGCUGGUCCAUUACUGACGCUGAGGCGCGACAGCGUGGGGAGCAAACAGGAUUAGAUACCCUGGUAGUCCACGCCGUAAACGAUGUGCGCUGGAUGUUGGGUGCCCUAGGCACUCAGUGUCGUAGCCAACGCGGUAAGCGCACCGCCUGGGGAGUACGGCCGCAAGGUUGAAACUCAAAUGAA
rnacentral:rRNA from 1 species